AUUGAACGCUGGCGGCAUGCCUAACACAUGCAAGUCGAGCGGAGCGGCGGACGGGUGAGUAAUGCCUAGGAAUCUGCCUGGUAGUGGCGGAUAACGUCCGGAAACGGGCGCUUAUACCGCAUACUAUCAGAUGAGCCUAGGUCGGAUUAGCUAGUUGGUGGGGUAAAGGCUUACCAAGGCGACGAUCCGUAACUGGUCUGAGAGGAUGAUCAGUCACACUGGAACUGAGACACGGUCCAGACUCCUACGGGAGGCAGCAGUGGGGAAUAUUGGACAAUGGGCGAAAGCCUGAUCCAGCCAUGCCGCGUGUGUGAAGAAGGUCUUCGGAUUGUAAAGCACUUUAAGUUGGGAGGCGGUACCAAAAGAAAAAGCACCGGCUAACUACGUGCCAGCAGCCGCGGUAAUAC
rnacentral:rRNA from 1 species